AAUUAGGGUUCGAUUCCGGAGAGGGAGCCUGAGAAACGGCUACCACAUCUAAGGAAGGCAGCAGGCGCGCAAAUUACCCAAUCCUAAUACAGGGAGGUAGUGACAAGAAAUAACAAUACAGGACUUUUUGGUUUUGUAAUUGGAAUGAGUUAAGUAUAAACCCCUUUACAAGUAUCAAUUGGAGGGCAAGUCUGGUGCCAGCAGCCGCGGUAAUUCCAGCUCCAAUAGCGUAUAUUAAAGUUGUUGCAGUUAAAAAGCUCGUAGUUGGAUUUCUGUUAAUAAUUUAUAUAAAAUAUUUUGAUGAAUAUUUAUAUAAUAUUAACAUAAUUCAUAUUACUAUUUUUUUUUUU
rnacentral:rRNA from 1 species